rnacentral:rRNA from 1 species
GGAGGAUGCAAGCGUUAUCCGGAUUCAUUGGGUUUAAAGGGUGCGCAGGCGGGGGCAAUAAGUCAGUGGUGAAAUCCUGCGGCUUAACCGUAGAACUGCCAUUGAUACUGUUGCCCUUGAGUAUAGUUGAGGUGGGCGGAAUAUGUAAUGUAGCGGUGAAAUGCAUAGAUAUUACAUAGAACACCAAUUGCGAAGGCAGCUCACUAAGCUAUCACUGACGCUGAGGCACGAAAGCGUGGGGAGCGAACAGGAUUAGAUACCCUGGUAGUCCACGCCGUAAACGAUGAUCACUCGUUGUUGGCAAUAUAUCGUCAGCGACUGAGCGAAAGCAUUAAGUGAUCCACCUGGGGAGUACGAUCGCAAAGAUUGA